GUCCCUUUGGGGACAUCUGAUAAAAUUGGAACGAUACAGAGAGGAUUAGUAUGGCCCUUGCGCAAGAAUGACAUUCACAAAUCGAGAAAUGGUUCAAAUUUUU